UACGAAGGGGGCUAGCGUUGCUCGGAAUGACUGGGCGUAAAGGGCGCGUAGGCGGUUUGCACAGUCAGGCGUGAAAUUCCUGGGCUUAACCUGGGGGCUGCGCUUGAUACGUGUGGACUGGAGUGCGGAAGAGGGUCGUGGAAUUCCCAGUGUAGAGGUGAAAUUCGUAGAUAUUGGGAAGAACACCGGUGGCGAAGGCGGCAUUCUGGACCGAUAUUGACGCUGAGGAGCGAAAGCCAGGGGAGCAAACGGG
rnacentral:rRNA from 1 species